CCUUGCGAUGCUUUCCAAGUGAACCUCGUCAGGUCCG
rnacentral:SRP_RNA from 11 species